rnacentral:rRNA from 1 species
GUGAGUCAUCGAAUCUUUGAACGCACCUUGCGCUCCUUGGUAUUCCGAGGAGCAUGCCUGUUUGAGUGUCAUUAAUAUAUAUAUCAACCUUCUCUUGUUGAAUGGUUGGAUGUGGGGGGUUUGCUGGCCCCUUUAAAAAGGGUUCAGUUCCCCUGAAACGCAUUAGCAGAACGGACCUGUUCAUUGGUGUGAUAACUAUCCACGCUAUUGAAUGUGAGGGGCAGUUCAGCUUUCUAACAGUCCUUGGACAAUUUCAUCAUUAAUGUGACCUCAAAUCAGGUAGGACUACCCGCUGAACUUAAGCAUAUCAAUAAGGGAGG